CUAGGCAAGUGAGUAUACCUAUCAAUGGUAUACGAAUGAUAGAAGCUUAUCUACAGCUCUUUUUUGACUUACUUAUAGCCCUACGGAAAGUUAAGUAGUUAUCUAAAGUGUAGCUAAUGCAGAGCAGCAAGUGUAGCUAGGGGCUAAGGAGCUAAAGUAGCUAUUGAAGCUAGGAGUUCUUGUUCCUGCUUGAGUGAGUAGUUCGGGGGAAAUGUUGCUAAGAGCUCUGCUGUUUUAGCAGUUAUUGUAGCUAUUGUUGUUUGAACUAAGCAAGUGUAGCUAACCUCGCAUUCUGUAGCUGAAAGCGCUAUUCAAUGUUGCAGUUGCUUCUAACUAUUAGCUCUUGUUGCCUAAGUGAAGUGAAAACAGCUUGUUUGGCUUCUAAUCUAGCAAGGAAGCAGAGGGGCCCGUAUGCUGAUGAGCGAGUGAAUCUUGCUUGUUGUUAAUACUAGCUAGGUGUCUUAGCAAGUAUAGCUAUUUUUCGUUUUAUAUAGCAGCAAACCCAUUUUCUUACCAGAGAUGCUUGAACAAGUCUACUUUUUUCGUUUUGGAAAAGCUACCUUGCUUACAGUAAAGUCUCUCUCAUAUGGCAGACAAACAGAAAAAAGCUAGUGA
rnacentral:lncRNA from 1 species